CCAUCCCACAAUUACCCUUCAAUCCCAUCCCUCGUAGUUCACUGUGGGUCUAAGAGGUGGCUAGAAGUUCAAUGGGAAUGUGCUGUUACCUAUGUUGUUUUGCUUAGUUUUCGACCACCAUCACGUUGUGGCGAGUUGUGUUCGGUUUGAUGGGUGUUGUGAGUGAAGGAUUUAGGUUUUAGCUGUUAUGCCCAUGAUGGUUACCUCUAUGGGCGUUAGCUGUGGGUGGUGCUGGGACCUUGUUUGACAAGGAGAACCUCCUCAGCAUUCCACCUGCAUUUCUGUGACGCUACAAUGUAAACUGAGGCUUUCUAGUGGAUGCUACAACGUCUCAAGGUUGGUAUGCUUGUGUUUGAACAUGGCUCUUCUCUGGUUGUAAUAGAGCCGCUGAUGAAGAAAAUACCCAAAUUUCUGACUUCUGUGAUGAGCAUUGAAUCACCAUCUUUCGACUGAGGCUUGAUUUGUGGGGAGGAGUGUGGAGGAAGGCUGGAUGAAGUUAGAAUACAUAGACCUGUCCUGAACUACAUGUUGAAUAAACAUGCACUACCAACUGACAGCUUUCUGGAGAGGAUGUUGUUAGGACUCACGGGUUUGAGUAACUGGAAUGACGGGAAUUGUAUCCUUGGCGCGGUGCAAUUCUAGCAUCUCGGGGUGGCCAUUGCAUUCAUGUGAUGCACUUGUGGCCGCAGAAUCCUUUGCUAACGUCGUAGAUCAACUUUUUUCACGUGACGUUUCCUCUGCGCAUUCCUGUGUGGAGGAUUCAUCUGUGGAAUCGAGGUCGCAUAUUCCAUUGUCCUAGGGAGCAGCGUUGCUGCAAUUACUCUUUGGGACAGACCAUGCAAUCUACAGAGACUCAUUAGAUGGUUUCACUUAUUGAAGCCGUUAGUGAUUACCACCAUUUAGAAUACUAUCUUUCGGAUUGUUGUCACCUUCGGGUGGCAACGACACUGCAAAGAAUGACGGCGUCAAUGACAAGAGGGGUGAGAUCAAGAUUGUCUGUCUCACCCCUCUAUGUUUGAUGGAACAUAGAGGGGUGAGAUCAAGAUGCAAAAACUGAGGUCACUGAUGGCGAUCAUGAGCUGAUCUCGCGUCAGUUGCAGAUAAAGUGAACGCAUUAUUUUUAGGUGCUUUUCACGAGCAUGCCAGCUCGGUGCUUCGUCCAGACGCUGCAGCUGCGCUCUGCGUAAAUUCACUGAAGGAGAUCGUGAUGUGUCUCUAAACAUGCGGCGCACCUGCCAACGAAAUCUUCUCCCUGGCGUAGCACCCUCAUCAAAGGAGCCCUUCUCAAACACCUACUCCUUCAAUUACCUCUUCUUCUAUAACCUAGAAGCAUGAGAGUGCUGAGUGCACCCAACUUUAUAUUUACUUGUAAAAUGUACCGUACCUGCAGCAUGUCAUGAAAAUAGACAAAACGUGAUACUUGGCAUUGUGCCAUGCAGUGAAAAACAACAAAGUCUAAGUUAGAGCAGAAUCAGUCCACGCAUCAGCACGAGAAAUCAUGAUCUAAAGAAAAGGGUGGAAAUGAAGAAAACAUUGUAACACCACCGCAGAAUUGCUCAGAUAUGGUAGUCUAACUUCAUAUAGGCAGUAAGCCUAAUCCAAUCCUAAGACCUGGUGAAAUAGGCCAAGUCAAAGCCACUGUAUUGGUGUAAAUCUCAUUUGCAUUAAUAUAUAAUGAAGCAUGCCCAAUCUGCAGUCAUUUACAACACCCA